rnacentral:rRNA from 1 species
UAUGGAGAGUUUGAUCCUGGCUCAGAGUGAACGCUGGCGGCGUGCCUAAUACAUGCAAGUCGAACGAUGAAGCUUCUAGCUUGCUAGAAUGCUGAUUAGUGGCGCACGGGUGAGUAACGCAUAGGUCAUGUGCCUCUUAGUUUGGGAUAGCCAUUGGAAACGAUGAUUAAUACCAGAUACUCCCUACGGGGGAAAGAUUUAUCGCUAAGAGAUCAGCCUAUGUCCUAUCAGCUUGUUGGUAAGGUAAUGGCUUACCAAGGCUAUGACGGGUAUCCGGCCUGAGAGGGUGAACGGACACACUGGAACUGAGACACGGUUCAGACUCCUACGGGAGGCAGCAGUAGGGAAUAUUGCUCAAUGGGGGAAACCCUGAAGCAGCAACGCCGCGUGGAGGAUGAAGGUUUUAGGAUUGUAAACUCCUUUUGUUAGAGAAGAUAAUGACGGUAUCUAACGAAUAAGCACCGGCUAACUCCGUGCCAGCAGCCGCGGUAAUACGGAGGGUGCAAGCGUUACUCGGAAUCACUGGGCGUAAAGAGCGCGUAGGCGGGAUAGUCAGUCAGGUGUGAAAUCCUAUGGCUUAACCAUAGAACUGCAUUUGAAACUACUAUUCUAGAGUGUGGGAGAGGUAGGUGGAAUUCUUGGUGUAGGGGUAAAAUCCGUAGAGAUCAAGAGGAAUACUCAUUGCGAAGGCGACCUGCUGGAACAUUACUGACGCUGAUUGUGCGAAAGCGUGGGGAGCAAACAGGAUUAGAUACCCUGGUAGUCCACGCCCUAAACGAUGGAUGCUAGUUGUUGGAGGGCUUAGUCUUUCCAGUAAUGCAGCUAACGCAUUAAGCAUCCCGCCUGGGGAGUACGGUCGCAAGAUUAAAACUCAAAGGAAUAGACGGGGACCCGCACAAGCGGUGGAGCAUGUGGUUUAAUUCGAAGAUACACGAAGAACCUUACCUAGGCUUGACAUUGAGAGAAUCCGCUAGAAAUAGUGGAGUGUCUGGCUUGCCAGACCUUGAAAACAGGUGCUGCACGGCUGUCGUCAGCUCGUGUCGUGAGAUGUUGGGUUAAGUCCCGCAACGAGCGCAACCCCCUUUCUUAGUUGCUAACAGGUUAUGCUGAGAACUCUAAGGAUACUGCCUCCGUAAGGAGGAGGAAGGUGGGGACGACGUCAAGUCAUCAUGGCCCUUACGCCUAGGGCUACACACGUGCUACAAUGGGGUGCACAAAGAGAAGCAAUACUGCGAAGUGGAGCCAAUCUUCAAAACACCUCUCAGUUCGGAUUGUAGGCUGCAACUCGCCUGCAUGAAGCUGGAAUCGCUAGUAAUCGCAAAUCAGCCAUGUUGCGGUGAAUACGUUCCCGGGUCUUGUACUCACCGCCCGUCACACCAUGGGAGUUGUGUUUGCCUUAAGUCAGGAUGCUAAAUUGGCUACUGCCCACGGCACACACAGCGACUGGGGUGAAGUCGUAACAAGGUAACCGUAGGUGAACCUGCGGUUGGAUCACCUCCUU